UACGAAGGGGGGCUAGCGUUGCUCGGAAUCACUGGGCGUAAAGGGUGCGUAGGCGGCGCGGUAAGUCGGGUGUGAAAUCUCGGGGCUUAACUCCGAAACUGCAUUCGAUACUGCCGUGCUUGAGGACUGGAGAGGAGACUGGAAUUUACGGUGUAGCGGUGAAAUGCGUAGAUAUGCGGAGGAACACCAGUGGCGAAGGCGGCUCACUGGUCCAUUACUGACGCUGAGGUGCGAAAGCGUGGGGGAGCAAAACAGG
rnacentral:rRNA from 1 species